rnacentral:rRNA from 1 species
GACAGAGGGUGCGAGCGUUGUUCGGAAUUACUGGGCGUAAAGGGCGCGUAGGCGGUCUGUUAAGUUCGGUGUGAAAGCCCUCGGCUCACCCGAGGAAGUGCGCCGGAUACUGGCAGACUUGAGUACCGGAGAGGAGGGUGGAAUUCCUGGUGUAGCGGUGAAAUGCGUAGAUAUCAGGAGGAACACCGGUGGCGAAGGCGGCCCUCUGGACGAGUACUGACGCUGAGGCGCGAAAGCGUGGGGAUCAAACAGG